rnacentral:rRNA from 1 species
CGCAAUGGGCGAAAGCCUGACGGAGCAAUACCGCGUGAGGGACGAAGGCCUGUGGGUUGUAAACCUCUUUUCUCAGGGAAGAAGAUUUGACGGUACCUGAGGAAUCAGCAUCGGCUAACUCCGUGCCAGCAGCCGCGGUAAGACGGAGGAUGCAAGCGUUAUCCGGAAUUAUUGGGCGUAAAGCGUCCGCAGGCGGUCUCGUAAGUCUGUCUUUAAAGCGUGGAGCUUAACUCCAUAAAGGGGAUGGAAACUGCGAGACUAGAGGUAGGUAGGGGUAGAAGGAAUUCCCAGUGUAGCGGUGAAAUGCGUAGAUAUUGGGAAGAACACCAGCAGCGAAGGCGUUUUACUGGACCCAACCUGACGGUCAUGGACGAAAGUUA